rnacentral:lncRNA from 1 species
UUAAACUCGUCUCCGGCCCCUCCGAUCUGCAGCUCGAUCAGGGGCAGACACUGGUGAGGGAAGCCAGAGAGACGGGGCAGGCCUGCUGGCGGUCAGUGAUGCAUGAUGGAGGGAACCCGGACCUGCGUGCUGGAAGCAGCACUCUCUCCAAAGCACUCACUAAUGACUGAGGACAGCACCGAGUCUUCUAAUCACCUUUAAUGUGCACUUUAGAAGCUGACUUUAAAGCGGGCAAGAUAAGCAGCCAAGAAUUUUUGCAACAUGGAAUUUGGGUGGAAAACAAUUGCAGCUUCUCGCUGAGCCAAAGUCACCUUAGGCCUUGGCACUAACUCCUAUGGGAUGAUGGAAGAUGUGUCCCAAGAACCAGAAAGAGAAACAAUGAGGAACUUCUUUCCAGAAAGCUACUGUCUACUCAAGACCUUCACUGCAGUGGCAGAGAGGAUGAAGAAGUGGCUUCAUCCCAGCUGCUGUGACUAUAACUUGACGGUUUGAGUUACUGAAACCCACCAAUAAUAAGAUCAAAGUAACUCAAGGAAUACAACCUAAAUGUCCAGUGAUUGAUGAAUGACUAAGCAAAAUGGUUUGUCCAUGCAAUGGAAUAUUAUUCAGCCAUAAGAAGAAAGAAGUACCUACACGUACUACACUUGAAUGAAACUUGAAAACACGAUGUUGAGUAAAAGAAGCUGAUACAGUUUGGCUCUGUGUCCCCACC